rnacentral:lncRNA from 1 species
UACUUCCAGUUUCGCUGUAAUCUGAUUGGCUGGGAGAGUGACUAACGCAAAGCCCGAAAAACUGGAAUCAAAGAGGAAGUGCCAAAGCACACCUUCAAAAUAAAAGCCGUUCUUAACCAUUUGUCCUUUUUUUGAUUUUCUUGAAAAUUAUAUCGCAAAACGCGUGAUCACCAAGAAAGUGUUUGUCUACCCUUAAUUCAAAGUAAUUGGCAAUUCUCAAUUGACAAUUCAAUUUGCAAUUUGAUCCUUGCUAUUUCAAAAUGCGCUUCGCCAUUGGCAAUUUAAUAUUCAGGCUUGCAAUGUGAAAAUGCAUUUUGCAAUUCAGAUUCCAAUAUGAAAAACUACCAUUAAUUGCAAAAUGAAUUAUCAAUUGAGAAUUGUAUAUUGCAUAUAUCACCCCCAGUCUAAAAAACAAUUUCAAAAAGAGUUGUAAACUCCCUGCUAUAAAUAUAUUGAUACAUUUGUAUGUAUGGUAGUCCUAUCAGGCUGUCUUUGGCUAAUUCUGGCCUUUAUAACCACGUGUAAUCAUGUGUUUAUUUCAAAUUGCAUGUUUAAAAUAAAUUCUUGUUCUUAAUAUUAUUAUAGCAAGAUGUCCCAUCUGUUUUUUUUCUGUGCAGAGCAUUUCUUCUUCUUCCAGUGCAAAUUAUCUCCCCAACAAAUCCUCCAUGAAUAUUCCAAGGCUCCUUGUUUGUCAGGAAGGCUGUCUCGCUUUCAUCUAUUCAGGUGGUUUCAUUCACUAUGAAAGCCAGCUAAAUGGACCCGAUCAGUCAAUGACAACCGGGAUACAAUAGAGCCCGGUUACACGUCCCUUUUCUCCUUUCAGCCUUCUGAUAGACAACCCUGACACCUGCUCCCUGGGGACACCCUUCGCCAAGUCAGUGCACUGUUCCUUGAGAGACCUCCCUUACUUUAUCAGCCCAAAAAGGAUUGUCACAGGUGACUAUAUCUGCUGAGGUAUGGAGCUGCUAUCCCUGACCUGCCCCGGAACUGUGCGGUCGAGGCUCCACGCACGCAGCACAAGCGGAUUAAGGUGGCUUAAGCGCUGUCAUACAGGCAGAUUCGGU